rnacentral:sRNA from 1 species
GCCAGGCACUGGUGGCGCAGGCCUGUAAUCCCUGCAGCUGGGAGGCUGAGGCAGAAGGAUCACAAGUUCAAAGACAGCCUCAGCAAUUUAGCGAGGCGCUAAGCAACUCAGGGAGACCCUGUCUCUA